ensembl:snRNA U6atac minor spliceosomal RNA
GUGUUGUAUGAAAAGAGAGACGGUUAGCAGUCCCCUUGACAAGGAAGGAAGAGGCUCUUGGGCCUAACAACACGCACACAGUUAAGGCAUUGCCACCUACUUCGUGGCACCUAAUCAUCAUUAAAA